rnacentral:tRNA from 1 species
GGAGAAUUGGCCGAGUGGUCGAAGGCGCGCCCUUGGAAAGGGCGUAAACGGCAACGUUUCGUGGGUUCGAAUCCCAUGUUCUCCG